CCUACGGGAGGCUGCAGUGGGGAAUAUUGGACAAUGGGGGGAACCCUGAUCCAGCCAUGCCGCGUGUGUGAAGAAGGCCCUCGGGUUGUAAAGCACUUUCAGUGAGGAAGAACGCCUGGUGGUUAAUACCCAUCAGGAAAGACAUCACUCACAGAAGAAGCACCGGCUAACUCCGUGCCAGCAGCCGCGGUAAUACGGAGGGUGCGAGCGUUAAUCGGAAUUACUGGGCGUAAAGCGCGCGUAGGUGGCUUGAUAAGCCGGUUGUGAAGGCCCCGGGCUCAACCUGGGAACGGCAUCCGGAACUGUCAAGCUAGAGUGCAGGAGAGGAAGGUAGAAUUCCCGGUGUAGCGGUGAAAUGCGUAGAGAUCGGGAGGAAUACCAGUGGCGAAGGCGGCCUUCUGGACUGACACUGACACUGAGGUGCGAAAGCGUGGGUAGCAAACAGGAUUAGAUACCCUAGUAGUC
rnacentral:rRNA from 1 species